rnacentral:rRNA from 1 species
UAGGGAAUCUUCCACAAUGGACGAAAGUCUGAUGGAGCAACGCCGCGUGAGUGAAGAAGGGUUUCGGCUCGUAAAACUCUGUUGUUAAAGAAGAACAUAUCUGAGAGUAACUGUCCAGGUAUUGACGGUAUUUAACCAGAAAGCCACGGCUAACUACGUGCCAA